GCGCGAAAACUUUACAAUGCUGGCAACAGCGAUAAGGGAACCUCGAGUGCCAGGUUACAAAUCUGGCUGUCGAGAUGCCUAAAAAGCAUUUCAUAGCAAGGGCCGGGCAAGACCGGUGCCAGCCGCCGCGGUAACACCGGCGGCUCGAGUGGUAACCGUUAUUAUUGGGUCUAAAGGGUCUGUAGCCGGCCGGAUAAGUCUCUUGAGAAAUCUGGCAGCUUAACUGUCAGGCUUUCAGGAGAUACUGUCUGGCUUGAGGCCGGGAGAGGUGAGAGGUACUUCAGGGGUAGGGGUGAAAUCUUGUAAUCCUUGAAGGACCACCAGUGGCGAAGGCGUCUCACCAGAACGGACCUGACGGCAAGGGACGAAAGCCAGGGGCACGAACCG
rnacentral:rRNA from 1 species